rnacentral:rRNA from 1 species
UACGUAGGGUGCGAGCGUUGCCCGGAUUUACUGGGCGUAAAGGGCGCGUAGGCGGGCGUGACAAGUCACUUGUGAAAUCUCCGGGCUUAACUCGGAACGGUCAAGUGAUACUGUCGGACUAGAGUACAGAAGGGGCAACUGGAAUUCUCGGUGUAGCGGUGAAAUGCGUAGAUAUCGAGAGGAACACCUGCGGCGAAGGCGGGUUGCUGGGCUGAUACUGACGCUGAGGCGCGAAAGCCAGGGGAGCGAACGGG